rnacentral:lncRNA from 1 species
CUUGGACUGUUUCCAGAUGGCUGCCCACUGGGCUGCAGGAGAAUGGAGAGAGAGCUUCGAUGAGCUGAGGGAGACUCCUGCAUGCCCCAGGUUCCCAUUGGAGAAUGCUGGAUGAUGGAGCUUUCCUAACUGGCCACACACCAGAGUCUGAGAAAUACAUCAGCACUCCAGAUGUUGAUGUCCUGCACAAAUUCUUGGUUUGAAAGUAUGAUCGGAGAUCAAUGGAAUUGCAGUCUUGGACCAUGUGGCCCCCUCACACUGGUGCUCUGAUUCUCUCCGGCAUUCCAGGUGGCUCCACUUUCUGGACUAUUUCUCUUCAAUUUAAAUGAAGUGACACAGCAGGGAGGAAGACGUGAGAGGAAGAGUCUGCAAUGAAAGUAGCCUCAUUGAUCAUUUAAAGACCAUCUGGAAACUCGCCUCCAAAUAGCUGAUGGGCGUCCUGGACACUGAGUGUCUGGGCAACCCGUGUUCCCACAGAAGCACAGAGGGGCUCUGCCCCCAGGGUCGAGCUUCAAUGGGGCUCCUAAACUCAGGACUUCCUUUUUUUCUUAAUCUGGUUGAUUUGUGACAUUAUCCAAUGGUUUUGUUUUAGAA